CAGCAUAAUAAUCCAUUACAAACUAUAAGAUUACCUACUAUCACUUUGCCCGAGUUCGAUGGUAUGUAUGAGAGUUGGCUCGAGUUUCGAGACACUUAUAUGUCAUUAGUUCAUAAUUCAUCAGAGCUUAGCAACAUUCAAAAAUUCCAUUAUCUCAGAUCUUCGUUGAGAAGUAGUGCAUUAUUAGUUAUAAACUCAUUAGAACUAACUUCCGAUAAUUACAUUGUUGCAUGGGAACUUUUACAAAGCAGGUAUAACAAUAAUAGAUUAUUAAUUCAAAAUCACAUCAAGUCUAUAUUUAAUAUGCAACCAAUAACCAAGGAAUCUCAUUUAUUAAUUAGGAAUUUAAUUGACAGCACAUUAAGGAAUUUACGAGCUCUGAAAAUAUUGGGCGAGCCCACGAAUUUCUGGGAUGCUCUUAUCAUAUUCAUUGUUGUUUCAAAACUUGAUAAAAUAACCGAGCGUGAAUGGGAACAGCACAAAGUUCAGUAAACUCGGUAUCGCAUAAUGAAGCUUCAACUUCUGCGGAGCUGGACACGCCCUCCGUGCCCGCUCAAACUGCAGAACACUCAUCCAGAAUAUUGAGCUGGCGGAUCCCAACUUUCUGGAGUCACAAGAUAUAGAUAUUUUGCUUGGCGCAGAGAUGUUCUGGGAUCUACUCACUCACGGAAAAAUAAGGCUACCUAAUGGACCUUAUUUGCAUAAUACUUUAUUCGGCUGGAUAAUAUCCGGUGCAAUAUAUCAUAAAUCACUAAAUGAUAAUGCUGGUCAUAUCCAGUGUAAUUAUACACAAACGAUGGAUGCGCUAUUACGACAAUUUUGGGAACUUGAGGAGCUACCCAAGCGUCAGGAUGCGCAGACUGAUGAGGAUCAGAUAUGCGAAAAUCACUUCCUCACUACAACUACGCGAAACAGUGAUGGCAGCAUCGCUUCGUGGCAUGCGCCGACGUUGCGAAGAUGUAUAGGCAAGUCCUGGUGCGCGAGCAACAGCGCCACCUGCAGUUAAUUCUCUGGCGAGACACUCCAUCGGAGCCUCUAGGGAUAUAUCGUCUAAAUACAGUCACUUACGGUACCGCAUCUGCUCCCUUUCUUAGUGUACGCUGUAUAAAGCAGUUAGGCGUCGAAUCUAAUAAUCUUGACGUUCAGAGAAUUAUCAAGGAGGAUUUCUUUGUAGACGACCUAGUAACGGGAGAUGAUGAUAAAUCUAGGUUAUUGUAUUUAUGUAAUGAAAUCGCUCAAACAUUACAGUCAGGAUGUUUCCCACUUCGAAAGUGGACAUUCAAUUUUAUGCACAAUGAUUUAAUGUCAUCUCAUGAUUCGCUUGAGCAUUUAUGUUUAAAUAAUAACAGUAGUUCUAAAACUUUAGGCAUAGGCUGGCUAAAUAUGUCAGAUGAAUUUUAUUUCAAUACGCUUUAUGAUUUUGAUAGUAAUUCGCAAGUUAUAACUAAGCGCUAUAUUUUGUCACACAUAUCACAAAUAUUUGAUCCUCUUGGAUUAAUUAGUCCAUGUAUCAUGCAGGCUAAAAUUAUUUUGCAGCGUCUAUGGCUGUUAAAAAUUGAUUGGAACGAUCCAGUUCCAAUUGAUGUCAUUGCGAUAUGGAAUAGA